rnacentral:rRNA from 1 species
UGAGGAAUAUUGGUCAAUGGGCGAGAGCCUGAACCAGCCAAGUAGCGUGCAGGACGACGGCCCUAUGGGUUGUAAACUGCUUUUAUGUGGGGAUAAAGUGCGUGACGUGUCAUGCAUUGCAGGUACCACAUGAAUAAGGACCGGCUAAUUCCGUGCCAGCAGCCGCGGUAAUACGGAAGGUCCGGGCGUUAUCCGGAUUUAUUGGGUUUAAAGGGAGCGUAGGCUGUCUAUUAAGCGUGUUGUGAAAUUUACCGGCUCAACCGGUGGCUUGCAGCGCGAACUGGUCGACUUGAGUAUGCAGGAAGUAGGCGGAAUUCAUGGUGUAGCGGUGAAAUGCUUAGAUAUCAUGACGAACUCCGAUUGCGAAGGCAGCUUACGGGAGCGCAACUGACGCUAAAGCUCGAAGGUGCGGGUAUCGAACAGG